rnacentral:rRNA from 1 species
CGCGACCCGCGGACCCGUC